rnacentral:rRNA from 1 species
AAAUUCUGCCCUAUGAUUAUUUAAAUGGCUGCAGUAUUUUAACUGUACAAAGGUAGCAUAAUAAUUAGUUUUUUAAUUGAGGACUGGAAUGAAUGAUUAAAUGAAAAAUUUAUUUUAUUAACUAAAAUUUUUUAACUUUAUUUUUAAGUAAAAAAGCUUAAUUAAUUUUUUGGGACGAAAAGACCCUAUAGAACUUUAUUAAAUUACCAGUUAAAUUUUAAUUUCUUUUUAAUUUAUAUUAUUUAAUUUUGUUGGGGUGAUAAAUAAAUUAAACUUUAUUUUUUUUAUUCAUUAAUUUAUGAUAGUCUAGAAUAAUAUUUUUUUAAAAGAAAAAGUUACCUUAGGGAUAACAGCGUAAUUUUUAUGGAAAGUUCAUAUUUAUAUAAAAGUUUGCGACCUCGAUGUUGAAUUAAGAUAAAUUAAUAAAGAAGUAUUUUUUAUAUUAAGUCUGUUCGACUUUUAAUUUCUU